rnacentral:rRNA from 1 species
AUUGAACGCUGGCGGCAUGCCUUACACAUGCAAGUCGAACGGCAGCACGGGAGCAAUCCUGGUGGCGAGUGGCGAACGGGUGAGUAAUAUAUCGGAACGUGCCCAGUCGUGGGGAUAACGUAGCGAAAGCUACGCUAAUACCGCAUACGAUCUAUGGAUGAAAGCGGGGGAUCGCAAGACCUCGUGCGAUUGGAGCGGCCGAUAUCAGAUUAGGUGGUUGGUGAGGUAAAGGCUCACCAAGCCGACGAUCUGUAGCUGGUCUGAGAGGACGACCAGCCACACUGGGACUGAGACACGGCCCAGACUCCUACGGGAGGCAGCAGUGGGGAAUUUUGGACAAUGGGCGCAAGCCUGAUCCAGCAAUGCCGCGUGCAGGAUGAAGGCC